AGGGGAAAAUGCCUUUCUCCC
rnacentral:miRNA from 7 species